GGUAUGACUGCUUGCAGUGAGGCUGUUGGAGUUUGACUAAUACAUAAAUAUGAUCUCAAUGAGCUCUUGUAGUGGAUGUUGAUGAUAGUUGAUCCACUGUAGGAGUAGGAUACACAUCAAGAUGGAAUCUAUCGAUCUUAAUAGAAAGGAGUAGUUCUAUUGGAUUUGAGAUGCUAAGUUUGAAAGUCUGUGGCCAUAGCAAUAUGAUUGAUGAAAAAAAAUUUUUAUAAAGAUCACUAUUGAACUUGAGCUGAUCGAAUCUAUCAUAUGACUGAUGAUGAGGU
rnacentral:lncRNA from 1 species